rfam:Gossypium hirsutum cultivar TM-1 scaffold6237.1_1, whole genome shotgun sequence
UGUUAAAAAUUUCAUCCAUUUUUAUUGUCAGAAACUGGCUUGAUUGAUAGAAUAACCAAACAUUUAUACGUGGCAAUGUGUACCUCAUUCUGACCUAUAGGGAUCAGUUUGUAACAAUCGAAAUGGAUGGAAUUUUUAACA